CGGGGUGCAGCAGGCGCGAAAACUUUACAAUGCGGAAAACCGUGAUAAGGGGACACCGAGUGCCAGCAUCAUAUGCUGGCUGUCCAGGUGUGUAAAAUACACCUGUUAGCAAGGGCCGGGCAAGACCGGUGCCAGCCGCCGCGGUAACACCGGCGGCCCGAGUGGUGAUCGUGAUUAUUGGGUCUAAAGGGUCCGUAGCCGGUUUGGUCAGUCCUCCGGGAAAUCUGACGGCUCAACCGUUAGGCUUUCGGGGGAUACUGCCAGGCUUGGAACCGGGAGAGGUAAGAGGUACUACAGGGGUAGGAGUGAAAUCUUGUAAUCCCUGUGAGGCCACCUGUGGCGAAGGCGUCUUACCAGAACGGGUUCGACGGUGAGGGACGAAAGCUGGGGGCACGAACCGGAUUAGAUACCCGGGUAGUCCCAGCCGUAAACGAUGCUCGCUAGGUGUCAGGCAUGGCGCGACCGUGUCUGGUGCCGCAGGGAAGCCGUGAAGCGAGCCACCUGGGAAGUACGGCCGCAAGGCUGAAACUUAAAGGAAUUGGCGGGGGAGCAC
rnacentral:rRNA from 1 species